rnacentral:lncRNA from 1 species
CGAGUUUGUGUGUUGAGAGUGGGUGAUUGGAUUAGAUUUUGGAGGAGGCCUAUUGUUCCAGGUAUUUUAUCCAUCCAGUGUGAUAAAGAUAUUCCAUAUUGAGGCAGCUUUACUAAAGGGGUGGUAUGAGGAAAGAUAUAGCAAACUUUGUAGAUGAUUUCCUUCGUUGUCAGUAGGUAAAGGCUGAGCAUAUGAGACCUGUUGGUUUACUUCAGAGGUUACUCAUUCCUGAGUAGGAAUAGGAAUGGAUCACUAUGGAAUUUAUGACAGAUUUGCCUCCCACUUUGCAUGGUUUUAACAGUUUUUGGGUCAUCUGUAAGACCCCAUAUUUUUUAGCUAG